GAUGAACGCUGGCGGCGUGCUUAACACAUGCAAGUCGAACGGUGAAGGAGAGCUUGCUCUCCGGAUCAGUGGCGAACGGGUGAGUAACACGUGAGCAACCUGCCCCGGACUCCGGGAUAACAGUUGGAAACAGCUGCUAAUACCGGAUACGAGCUGCGAAGGCAUCUUCAGCAGCUGGAAAGAACUUCGGUCCGGGAUGGGCUCGCGGCCUAUCAGCUUGUUGGUGAGGUAACGGCUCACCAAGGCGUCGACGGGUAGCCGGCCUGAGAGGGUGACCGGCCACACUGGGACUGAGACACGGCCCAGACUCCUACGGGAGGCAGCAGUGGGGAAUAUUGCACAAUGGGCGCAAGCCUGAUGCAGCAACGCCGCGUGAGGGACGACGGCCUUCGGGUUGUAAACCUCUUUUAGCAGGGAAGAAGCGAAAGUGACGGU
rnacentral:rRNA from 1 species